rnacentral:rRNA from 1 species
UGCGGAGGGUGCAAGCGUUGUCCGGAUUUAUUGGGGUUAAAGGGUGCGUAGGCGGCUUUAUAAGUCCGUGGUGAAAGCCAACAGCUCAACUGUUGAACUGCCAUGGAUACUGUAAGGCUUGAGUACAGACGAGGUAGGCGGAAUGGAUGGUGUAGCGGUGAAAUGCAUAGAUACCAUCCAGAACACCGAUUGCGUAGGCAGCUUACUAGGCUGUAACUGACGCUGAGGCACGAAAGCGUGGGGAGCGAACAGG